AUUUUCUGCCACCGAAUACAUUAGCAUGGGAUAAUGGAAUAGGACCCUGUCCUCCUAUUUUCAGUUGGUUUUGGCAGCGCGAGGACUAGGGUAAUGAUUAAUAGGGAUAGUUGGGGGCAUUAAUAUUUAAUUGUCAGAGGUGAAAUUCUUGGAUUUAUGAAAGAUUAACUUCUGCGAAAGCAUCUGCCAAGGAUGUUUUCAUUAAUCAAGAACGAAAGUUAGGGGAUCGAAGACGAUCAGAUACCGUCGUAGUCUUAACCAUAAACGAUGCCGACCAGCGAUUAGGAGACGUUGAAUACAAAACACCACCAUCGGCGCGGUCGUCCUUGGCGCGUUCGUGUUCACGCACGGGCGCGCGAGGGCGGCUUAGCCCGGUGGCACCGGUGAAUGACUCCCUA
rnacentral:rRNA from 2 species